UAUACUUUCUUUUUUUAGAUUAAUUAGUGGACCUUUCGGUUCCUUGCCUGGGGGCAGUUUUAAUACUCUUUGCUUUUAGUGGCGGUGCAAGUGACAAUCAAUAGAGGGCGUUGCUUAUAGUAAACACAUCAAUUUUCAAGUCGAUUCCAAAAGCUUCGGUGUGUCACAUUUUAUUUCUUUUUAAACAUGGAUACAAUAACAGACCAAGAGUCUGUCAGAAAUCAGUGGCAAGAUGUGUGUUUCAAGUGUUCAGUUGAGAGUACGUUGUGUGAAAGAUGGUGGUCGGUAUUAGAAGCCAACUAUUCGGAAGAACGAAGGCAUUACCAUACAUUACAUCAUAUACGAAAAAUGAACGAAGCCGUCUCCAGUGUUGCCUCGAAUCUCAAGCGACCUGAUUUAGUUUACUGGAGUGUGUUUUUUCACGAUAUCAUAUAUGACCCCAAGUCCUCCAAGAAUGAAGAAGAGAGUGCCAAAGUUUUUGAAGAAUUUGCAGCAGAAUGCUUACCAGAGGCACCAACUUGCGACAUCACUGACGUCUCAAACUGGAUCUUAAUGACCAGAAGUCACAUCACCCACAUUCACCUGACACCUAACAAGUUUGCCAAUGAGGACAAGUAUUAUUUCCUUGAUGCUGAUAUGGAGGUGUUAGGAUGGGCGAACCCCGAGUAUGAUGAAUAUGCAAAUCAGAUCCGAUCUGAAUAUACACAUGUGGCAGAAAAAACAUUCAGGGAAAGAAGAUCUAAGGUUUUGAAGAGCUUCUUAAAACUUCCAAAUAUUUAUGCAACUAAAAUAUUUCGUGAUAAAUAUGAAGCCCAGGCAAGAAGCAAUUUACAAAGAGAAAUCGAUCGACUGGGAGAAAGUUGAUGUAAAGACAUUAAAUCACUUGUCAUUUGCAAGUGUAGAGCUGAUUAUCUUAGACCCUUGAAGGGAAUGUGAUCAAAGACCAUAAUGAAAUUUUAUUAAUUAUUCUGUUAAAUUUUGUAAUAUAUCAGUAGUUUUUUUUUCAUAUAGAAUUAUCAGGAAAGACUAAAGCAAAUUAUAACACAACAAAGUCUCUCUUUUCAAAACAUAAGUUUAUUUUUGAUCUCAUUCUCAAACCUCUGUACAAAUAAUUUUAGAACACAUAAAUAACUGACUGUGAAUAAUUGCAUUAAAUGCUAUUCUAAAGCACUC